UACGUAGGGGGCGAGCGUUGUCCGGAGUUACUGGGCGUAAAGGGCAUGCAGGCGGUCCGACACGUUUUGUGUGACAGCGGGUGGCUUAACUACCCGAGGAUGCGAAAGACGGUUGGACUUGAGGACUCGAGAGGGACGACGGCGAAUUCCGGGUGGAGUGGUGAAAUGGCGUAGAGAUCCGGAGGAACACCGAGGCGAAGGCAGUGGUCCUGGCGAGUGACUGACGCUGAGGUGCGAAAGCCAGGGGAGCGAACGGG
rnacentral:rRNA from 1 species